CAGCAGUGUCUCCUGGGCCUCCUCGUUGCUGGCCAUUGACAUCCUAGCAUUUCCCAUGUACCUGCUGAACUUUAUGGGCUUGUAGAACUGGAUGUGCAAAAAUGGUUCCCCUACUUCUUGGUGAGGUUCACUGUGAUGUACAAAGAACAGAUGGCAAGCAAGAAGCAGGAGCUCUUUGGCAACCUGCAGGAGUUUGUGGGCCCCUCCAAGAAGCUCUCCCUGCUGGAGGUGGGCUGUGGCAUGGGGGCCAACUUCAAGUACUAGCCACCUGGGUGCAGGGUGACCUGUAUUGACCCCAACCCCAACUUUGAGAAGUUUUUGAUCAAAAGCAUUGCAGAGAACCAACACCUGCAGUUUGAGCGCUUUGUGGUAGCUGCCAGGGAGAACACGCACCAGGUGGCCGAUGGCUCUGUGGACAUGCUGGUCUGCACCUUGGUGCUGUGCUCUGUGAAGAACCUGGAGCAGAGUCUCCAUGAGGUGUGCAGAGUGCUGAGAC
rnacentral:lncRNA from 1 species